rnacentral:rRNA from 1 species
AGUGCAGUGAUGUACGGAGUUGACUGGUACUAAUCGGUCGAGGACUUAAUCA